rnacentral:misc_RNA from 1 species
CGACCGUGGUCUGGUGGACUUGGAGAUGGGCCCUGCCGGCGACCGGCUGGCCUGAAGACGUUAGUGGGAAGUGUUUCCUCUGGCCUGACGUGAUAAGUUUCGUCUGACCUUGGAUGGCACAUGCCCGCUCCGAACCCCAUGUCCUUGGGCAACUCUUUAUGCUGGACCUCAAAUCAGGUAGGACUACCCGCUGAACUUAA